rnacentral:rRNA from 1 species
GAUGAACGCUGGCGGCGUGCCUAACACAUGCAUGUCGAGCGAGUGGAUCUCCUUCGGGAGUGAAGCUAGCGGCGGACAGGUGAGUAACACGUGGGCAACCUGCCUCAUAGAGGGGAAUAGCCUUUCGAAAGGAAGAUUAAUACCGCAUAAGAUUGUAGCUUCGCAUGAAGUAGCAAUUAAAGGAGCAAUCCGCUAUGAGAUGGGCCCGCGGCGCAUUAGCUAGUUGGUGAGGUAACGGCUCACCAAGGCGACGAUGCGUAGCCGACCUGAGAGGGUGAUCGGCCACAUUGGGACUGAGACACGGCCCAGACUCCUACGGGAGGCAGCAGUGGGGAAUAUUGCACAAUGGGGGAAACCCUGAUGCAGCAACGCCGCGUGAGUGAUGACGGCCUUCGGGUUGUAAAGCUCUGUCUUCAGGGACGAUAAUGACAGUACCUGAGGAGGAAGCCACGGCUAACUACGUGCCAGCAGCCGCAGUAA